GACGAACGCUGGCGGCGUGCUUAACACAUGCAAGUCGAGCGGAAAGGCCCUGUUUGUGUGGGGCGAUCGAGUGGCGAACGGGUGAGUAACACGUGAGCAACCUCCCCUUGACUUUGGGAUAACUUCAACACACUGGAGCACAUACUGGAACCGAGUUCCUGCUGCCUGGUGGGGGCUGGAUAGUUUCGGCGGUAGGGGAUGGACUCGCGGCUUAUCAGCUUGUUGGUGGGGUAGUGGCUUACCAAGGCUUUGACGGGUAGCCGGCCUGAGAGGGUGACCGGCCACAGUGGGACUGAGAUACGGCCCAGACUCCUACGGGAGGCAGCAGUGGGGAAUAUUGCACAAUGGGCGGAAGCCUGAUGCAGCAACGCCGCGUGAGGGAUGACGGCCUUCGGGUUGUAAACCGCUUUCAGCGGUGACGAAGCGUGAGUGACGGUAGUGGGUGAAGAAGCACCGGCUAACUACGUG
rnacentral:rRNA from 1 species